rnacentral:rRNA from 1 species
UACAGAGGUCCCAAGCGUUGUUCGGAUUCACUGGGCGUAAAGGGUGCGCAGGCGGCCAAGUGUGUGAGGCGUGAAAGCCCGGGGCUUAACCCCGGAAUUGCACCUCAAACUACAUGGCUAGAGCAUUGGAGAGGGUAGCAGAAUUCAUGGUGUAGCAGUGAAAUGCGUAGAUAUCAUGAGGAAUACCAGAGGCGAAGGCGGCUACCUGGACAAUUGCUGACGCUCAGGCACGAAAGCGUGGGGAGCAAAAGGG